AUGAUUGCGAAUGGGUCACCUUCAGUGCUGGCUCUCCAGAGCAAGUGCACGUUGGUGGCUUUCAUCCAAUUCCACACCCUGUGAACCUUUGGCCUCUUGCUAGCCUCGGCUGGCAGAGGAUUUUUUACACAUACUCGAAUGUAAUGAAAAAUUAUUGUUGUGCGCAAGCACUACUAUAUA
rnacentral:misc_RNA from 1 species